UGAUACUCUGCGUAACACCACUAAAGUGUCCUGAUUCUUUACACCUCUUAUAAUGAAAUCAGAGUCCAGACGCCGCUCUUUAGGAAAAUCUCCACAGACUCCUGCUGCUACUGGCUCAAAGCUGGGUAACGUCCUCUUCCAAACCAACAGAUGGUGCUAUUGGUUAAUUUUUACUAGUCUCUCGAGCGAAGCAUUACAACACGCAUUGCAUUACAUUACACCAGGGAUACAACCAUCAAAAUGAGAGGGGAACAGGUGAGGUUCUUUCAGUAAAUGACUAAUGAAACCUUUCCUUUUUUGUGUGUAAAAAUGUUAUUUCUACAUCUAGACAGCCAGCCACAUUACCAUUACAAAUGCUGGCUAUAUUUUCUCAAAGAUUUUUAGAAUGGAUUGUAUUUAUUUGUGAAAUAUGAUGUAGGUUAAUAUUUUUAUGUAUAUAUGUUUGUGAAACACAGGACAUAUUUGUUACACCUCUGCGUUUUUUGUAAAAUUCCAGUCUGUAUUUGCUUAUCGCUUUGUUUGAGAGUCGAGUUUUCCUUUGCAAAGCAGAUUGUGUUUGUUUGCAAAAUGGUAGAUUUAUUUGUUUUGUAUUGGCACAAAUUUAUGUCCAUAAUGUGAGCUGUAGGACCAGAGUGCUGUAAACUUUCUGCCACUUAUGGAUAAUAUCCACAAUUUCAGACAAGAGUGCUGAAUGGAUGCCAUUUAUUCCAGUCCAUUUUACUUCCACAGA